rnacentral:rRNA from 1 species
AUAAUUAAUAUCUUACUUAUUUUAUUAAAAAUUUUAUGAGAAAUAUCUUUGUUCUUAGUAUAAAUAAGGAAAAGGGUUUAUUUGUUAUAGUAAAUUAGUACUGUUAAGGAAUAGAUGAAAUAAUUAAAAUAUUUAUUUUUAUAUAAGUAUACUUAAUUUGUAGUACCUUUUGUAUCAGGGUUGAUUAAAUAGUUUAAUUUAUUUUUAUGUCUCGAUUUUAGAAGAGCUAAUUUAUUAUUUUAGUUAAUGUGGAAUAAUUAUUAAAAAUAUAAUUUAGGGAAGAAAUUUUAUUCGAUUCUGAAGGUAUCUAGUUUUUUAAGAAAUAAAUUUAAUUUAAUCUCAUUAUUUAAUUUUUAUAUUAUAUUAUAAGUUAUUUAAUGAGUUAAAAUUUAUAGGGGAUAAGCUCUAUAAUGAUCUAUAAAUUAUCAAUUUAAUUAAUUUUUGUAGGGUUAAGAAUAUCCAUCAUUAGUGAGUGUGUUAUCAAUAUAUAUUUAUUAUUAAUUGAUUUUAUUUUUUUUAGUAUUUUAUUAAAANGUCAAAAUGAUUAAAAUAUUUUGAGUAAUAAUGAUUAAAUUAGUAUAAAAAAUUGUUUAUUAUUUAAUUAUUUUUAUGAUAAAAUAAGGAACUCGGCAAUUAUAGUUCUCGCCUGUUUACCAAAAACAUGUCCUUUUGAGUUUAAUUAAAGGUCUGACCUGCCCAGUGAUGAUUUUAACGGCCGCGGUAUACUGACCGUGCAAAGGUAGCAUAAUCAUUAGUCUUUUAAUAGAGGGCUGGAAUGAAAGGUUUAACGAGGAACUGACUGUCUCAUUUUAUUUGUUUUAGAAUUUAAUUUUUUAGUUAAAAAGCUAAAAUUUUAUUGGAAGACGAGAAGACCCUAUAGAUCUUUAUAUGAAUUAAUAUAAUUAUUUAUAUAUUAUUAUAUUUAUAUUAAUUUGUAUUUUGUUGGGGUGACAAAAAUAUAAAAUUAACUUUUUUAUUUAUUUUACAUUGAUUUAUGAAUAUUAGAUCCAUUAUUAUUGAUUAUUAGAUUAAGUUACCUUAGGGAUAACAGCGUAAUCCUUCUCCAGAGUUCAUAUUUACAGAAGGGCUUGCGACCUCGAUGUUGGAUUAAGAUAAUAAUUA